AUUGAACGCUGGCGGCAUGCUUUACACAUGCAAGUCGAACGGUAACAGGCCUUCGGGUGCUGACGAGUGGCGAACGGGUGCGUAAUGCAUCGGAACGUACCCAGAGGUGGGGGAUAACGCAGCGAAAGCUGUGCUAAUACCGCAUGUGAUCUGAGGAUGAAAGCGGGGGACCGAGCAGCAAUGUUUGGCCUCGCGCCUUUGGAGCGGCCGAUGUCGGAUUAGCUAGUUGGUGGGGUAAAGGCCUACCAAGGCGACGAUCCGUAGCUGGUCUGAGAGGACGACCAGCCACACUGGGACUGAGACACGGCCCAGACUCCUACGGGAGGCAGCAGUGGGGAAUUUUGGACAAUGGGCGCAAGACUGAUCCAGCAAUGCCGCGUGCGGGAAGAAGGCCUUCGGGUUGUAAACCGCUUUUGGCAGGAACGAAACGGUGUCCGCUAAUACCGGGCGCUAAUGACGGUACCUGCAGAAUAAGCACCGGCUAACUACGUG
rnacentral:rRNA from 1 species